GCCCCUUAGAGAAACAAGUAAUUGUCCUAUAUUAUCCAUCUAGGAGAUAAUGGAGUCAAAAUUUGAACCAAAGACUUGUGGAUUAAAAACCCAUACUUCAGUAAUGCGCUGUGGCCUUAUGCAUCAAAAUGUGGCAGCUGUGCAGGUCUGCACGGACUAUCCUGGGACUCCGACGAGUCGCUCUGCCAUCUCACAGCACCUGAUGGGUUCGCAUGAGGACAUUAGCAACCCCUGCCAAGGAUCAAAACUCCCCAUCUGCAGCAAGAAUCCAACGAGCUCUUGUCCAUCCUGCCGGAAAUCCAGACUUCUUUUGCUCUUCUCCAGUGAUUACUUCUGAAUGUUGCUAGGAUGGAGUCUCACAGAUAAUCCACACUUCUCCUGCAGUGUUCUUAGUCUACAUUCUUGCUUUUUCUCUGCUGCUUUGUGAAUUGUUCGUACUCCUGGGUCACAGUUCUGUUGCUGUCCAACUCCUGACUCUAUCUCUAUUCAGCUCCUGCAUCAUUGUCCAUGUUCUGUGGGUCAUCUAUGCAUUGCCAACUAUUUCUGCUCUCCAUCUGCAGGACUGGGGUUCAGAGAGCAACACCCCAAAAUAUGGCACUUUGGCAUGCUGGUGAUUUGAAUGAAAAGACACUGGAAAGGCCUCAGAGGCAAAGUGUUUUUCUAGCCUUCUCUCUAUCCUCCUUUCCUCCUACUCCUCUUUCUCCUUCAAAGGGGAAAAGGCCAUAGAAACUUGAACUCCUCUCACCCAAACCUGGCCAUAAAACCCAGAGGUAGUAUUCUAAUCUUCCGUGCUUUGCUGUGAAAGGUCUAGUUUUUAGAAAUUCUCUGACCUAUCUCUGAUAGUCCAUCAUCAGACAAGACUUUCAUCCCAGAAGCAGAAUGCUAUUACUCCAUAUCCAGGAGAGAGGAAGGCCAAAAAGAGGACAAGAAGAAUAUGAACAUCCAUACCUUGUUGGAUUUCCCUCAUUCAGUCUUACCAUUAGGAUCAUAUCCUUCUCAUCACAAUUCUACAUGGCUGCCCAUCCCAUCUGAUCUAAGAUCAAAAUGGACAGUUUUGGUCUUCAUUUCUGAAGAUUCCCACGUUGUGUACAACUUGAUUAAAUGUUUGUUAUGCUUUUCUCUUGUGAACC
rnacentral:lncRNA from 1 species